GACGACGUACUGGGUAGAAAACCACAAUAGGGCUAGUAGAGACUUGGAGGAAUAAUGUUGUACUGCCGGGGAAAAUGAAGCUGAACAAACUUCAACCAACACUGCACUGAGCAACCUCGCUAAAGAGAAACCAUAAAAGGUUCUACAGGAAAAAAGAUACAGUUAUCUCGAGAUAUGAACAAAUGUCUUACCCUGUCGGAAAUCAUGCCACCCUUGGGAGAGCACUGCAGAUCUCCUA
rnacentral:lncRNA from 1 species